AGCUGAAGUCUGAGAGGAAGACGUAAACAGGGAGAGGCUGGAGGCAGAAGAGAGCAUGACGGGGCUUUAUACUGUUGGUUAAACUUCUGCCGGCGGACGCAGCAGCAGGCGGCCAGCGUGGUGAGGAGGAUGGCAGAGACCAGUAUGAAGAUGUGCCUUCUGGGACCAAAAUUCUUCCUGUGCAAAUGCAGGUCUCCCUCUUCUCUUCCAGGCCUCCAGGAACCCCAGCCUUUCCCAGAAAAAGGUCUGACUUCCACAAUCACCGGGCUCAGGCUCACCGCCCCCAGCUUCUGUCUCCGCCAACCCGUUCUGACCCACUCACUGCUAAAUGCCUGACAACUGCUCAAAAGCUCUACUCUGACAAUGAGGCAGCUUGGCUUAAACUUCUCCACGGUGAAGUCCAGGAUCCCCAGCAGGGCCUUCGAGGCUGUUUGUAGCCCCUGCCAACCUGUCCCCCACCUCCCACCCCAGCCCACAUGCAGUGACCACAGCUGACCACUGCCCAUCAUGCGCUCCCACACCCACUGCUGGGGCCUGCUCCCUGAGCUGGUUAUGCCAUCCCCAACCAGAUCCACACAUGAACUCUUCACACUGAGCUUCAGGGCCUCCUCCACCAGGGAGCCCUCCCUGACUGUGCUUCCUCUCAGAGCUUUGCCCCGCUGAAUUGUGGCUGUGUGUGUGAGGACCUGCUAGACAGCGAGCUCAGAGCAAACAGGGACUGGUUUGGUGGAUGUGCAUGCCUUGGACCUGACUAGCAAGUCAAUUUUUCCUAAUGAAUGAGUCCCAGACAUCAUCAGUUUAGUAAAGGUCUGAGGCACUGAAUCAA
rnacentral:lncRNA from 1 species